rnacentral:misc_RNA from 1 species
CUGGAACGGAGGUUCGUGUCGUGUAGUUACGUUACAGUAUGUUUUACAUGCAGAGUCGUGUUAAAUAUUUUUUACUUGAAUACAAAUCAAUUGAUCUAUAAUGGCGGCAAAUUUAACGUAUUCUGAUAGACUAAGAGAUGCUGAUAAUUAUGUCACAUUCUCACUUAACGGGAAGAUCCAUAAGGUAUGGGGACUUCCGGCGGGAACCACCCUCUUGCAGUAUAUCCGUGAACACGCUCAUCUGAAGGGCACCAAAUACAUGUGCCGCGAGGGUGGAUGUGGAUCCUGCAUAGUGAACCUCACAUUCACUGAUCCUGUCACAGGAAUUGAUAGAUCCUUCGGUAUAAACUCAUGCUUGUACGCUUUAUACUCGUGUCAAGGAAUGUCAGUGACAACCAUUGAAGGAAUUGGCAGCAAACAGAAAGGCUACAGCCCUGUCCAGACACGCCUGGCUAACUUCUGCGGAUCUCAGUGUGGCUUCUGCUCUCCGGGCUGGGUCAUGGCUAUGUAUAGCUUACUCAAGACAGACAAAGAUAUGAGUAUGAAACAGAUAGAAGACUCUUUUGGAAGCAACAACUGCCGGUGCACAGGCUACCGACCCAUUUUGGAGGCCUUCAAAACUUUUGCAGAAAAUAGUACAGUGGAAUUGCAUAAAAACGUGGGCGAUAUUGAAGAUCUUUCGAAAGGUUGUAGCAUCCGAGGAGACCACAUCAAGUCAAAUCUCCAAAGUUGCGCUGGUAAUCCGUCCAAGGAAAUCGUAGACGUUGAAAACAUAUUCAACUGUCAAUAUUUUGAGCCUUUUUUUGUUGAACUUGCUCUGUCACCGACAACCCUUUGUGUUGAUACCAAGGGAUCUAGCCAUUGGUACAAAGUCACUAAGGUCCAGGAAAUAUUUGAGAUAUUUACUAUGAUUAAUGGAUCGUAUAUGUUGGUUGGAGGCAAUACUGCCCAAGGAGUGUUUGAAGAGAAAUACCCAACACCUCCAGACGUAUACAUCGACAUCAAUGGUGUGCUUGAACUCAAAUCUCAUUCCUUCAACUCUGUCGGGGACCUGGUGUUGGGAGCCAACAAAUCUCUAACAGACACCAUCACUCUGUUCCGGGCUGUAGCUGUCGAGAAACCGGAAUCCUUUAGUUACCUCAAGAUUUUGGCCAAGCACAUGACGAAGGUUGCUCAUAUACCUGUCAGAAACGUGGGAACUUUAGCUGGCAACCUUUCAGCUAAGCAUGUUUACCCAAGAUUUCCAUCAGAUUUGUUCACCAUAUUUGAGACGGUCGGGGCCCAACUGAUCAUCGACAGUGGAAGUGGAUUAAGAUCCACGAUCUCAUUGCCUCAGUUUCUUCAGAUCAACAUGUGUAAAAGAGUUAUUACAAAUAUCGUGUUUAAACCUUUGGAUGAAACUUAUAUUGUAAGAACCUAUAAGGUUAUGCGAAGAGCUCAGAACGACCACGCCAUAGUUAAUGCAGGAUUCUGUUUUAGCUUCAACAAAAAUAAAAAUUUCAAAGUUCUGCAGAAACCAAGGAUUGUCUACGGUGGUGUAAGACCUGAUUUCAUUCAUGCCAUCCAUACAGAAUCAUAUCUAGAGGGAAAAUGUCUUCUAAACACAGCAACACUUCAAAAGACCUUAUCCAUUCUCAGUGCGGAGGUGGUGCCAGACAGGCAGUUGCCGGAAAGUUCUGAACAGUACAGGAAUGGUUUGGCAUCGUCUCUUUUCUAUAGAUUUGUUCUUGGUUUAAGCCCAUCUUCUAUAAAUCCGAAAUUCAGAAGUGGGGGAGAGGAGAUUUCGAGACCUCUGUCCUCGGGCAGGCAGGAAUAUUUCACUGACCCUCAACAGUAUCCUCUGACUCAACCCAUGCCAAAAGUGGAAUCUCUUAUACAAUGUUCAGGUGAGAUUGAAUACACCAAUGACAUACCACCCUCGCUGACAGAACUGUUCGCUUCUCUGGUGUUGACAGACCGAGGACCUGCUACAUUGGCCGAGAUAAAUCCUCAGCCUGCUCUGAGCAUCCCGGGGGUUGUAGCCUUUCUCUCAGCAAAGGAUAUCCCUGGUGUGAAUACAUUCGCAAACAUAUUAAAACCUGUCGUUAAUGAACAUGAACUGCUAUUUGUGGAGAAGGAUAUACAAUAUGCAGGACAAGCCGCGGGGGUGAUCCUCGCCAACAGUCAAGACCUGGCCGACUACGCCGCUCGAAGAGUCGUCCUUAAAUAUAUCAACGUCAAGAAACCGUUAUUGUAUGUAGAUGAUGUCCUGAAAGAAGGUGAUAAAGAAAGGAUUAUACUAACAGGAUCGAUUGAGCCAACUUCAACAAAAGAUGAUGUAGAACAUACGAUAAAAGGAAGCUUUUCUUACAAGGGCCAGUAUUUCUAUUUCUACGAAACACUGACCUGUAUAGUAUACCCACGGGAUAAUAACACCUUAGAUGUUGUCCUGCCUACUCAAUGGAUGCAACAUGUACAAGAAGCUAUAUCCAAACUGCUUAAUAUAUCAUCUAACAGGAUCAACGUGACAGUGAAGCGGUGUGGUGGAGGUUUUGGAGGUAAGAUUUCAAGAGCUACCCUACCUGCCUGUGCGUGUGCGCUAGCGGCCUAUCUGCUCCAGAGACCUGUCAGAAUUGUAAUGGAUCUGGAAUCCAACAUGAGAGCUGUUGGAGGCAGAUAUCUCUUCCUCAUAAACUAUGAGGCAGGUGUGGAUAACGAGGGAGUGAUCCAAUACCUUAAGGGACAAUUCUACAGCGAUAAAGGGGUGGCUCUGAACGACUCUGGGUCGGCUAGGAUCUCUCUACCCGUCUUCCCUAACGUGUACGACAGCAGCACCUGGAGUGUUGAUUUCUACGACGUAAGGACCGACAAGGCGACUACGACCUACCUUAGGGCUCCAGGAUCAUUAUCGGGAAUUGGAGCAAUAGAACAUAUCAUGGAGCAUAUAGCUUGGACUGUGAAGAAAGACCCUUUGUCGGUCAGACUCAACAAUAUGAUGGUAGAUAGCCCCAUACCCAGUUACAUUUCAGAUCUCAAGGGCAAUGCAGAUUAUGACGUCAGAGUUCAGCACUGCAGAGAAUUUAACAGGUUAAAUCAGUGGAAGAAGAGAGGAAUAUCUUUGGUCCCUAUGAGGUUCAAGCCACACUACAGAGGGGUUUAUCAUGCUUUGUUGUCUAUUUUUCGGAAUGACGCAACUGUCGCCAUCACCCUCGGUGUCUGUGAGAUGGGCCAUGGUAUAAAUACCAAGCCUGUGGUAUUGCCAGGUAGCCCAGAUUGCUGCCCACGAGCUUGGCAUCCCUCUAGUCUACAUACAAGUCAAGGCCAGUUCUAAUCUUACAGCCCCUAACGAUAUCUUCACAGGAGCAAGCACGUCCUCGGAUGGAGUUUGUUUUGCUGUUAGAAAAUGCUGUCAGAAGAUAAACUCUCGACUAGAACCCCUGAGACGUUCUGUAGGACCUGACACGCCUUGGACUGAGUUGAUUGAAAAAGCUUAUCAGCAAAGAAUCGAUCUAAAUACGACGUAC